AUUCCGGUUGAUCCUGCCGGCGGGCACCGCUAUCGGAAUGCGAUUAAGGCAUGCGAGUCGAGAGGUGAAAGACCUCGGCGGACGGCUGAGUAACACGCGGAUAAUCUGCCCUGGAGAGGGGGAUAAUCUCGGGAAACUGAGGAUAAUACCCCAUAGGUGUGGUUUGCUGGAAUGCUUCCACGCUCAAAACUCCGGUGCUCCAGGAUGAGUCUGCGGCCUAUCAGGCUGUAGUGGGUGUAACGGACCCACUAACCUACGACGGGUAGGGGCGUUGAGAGACGGAGCCCCCAGAUGGAUUCUGAGACACGAAUCCAGGCCCUACGGGGCGCAGCAGCUACGAAAACUGUCCAAUGUGGGAAACCACGAGACGGGCAUUCCGAGUGCCAUCACUUUUGUGUUGGCUGUUCUCCCGCCUAAAAAGCGAGAGAAGUAAGGGCCGGGUAAGACGGGUGCCAGCCGCCGCGGUAAUACCCGCGGCCCGAGUGGUGCUCAUUAUUAUUGAGCUUAAAGCGUUCGUAGCCGGCCCUGUAAAUCCUUGGGUAAAUCGGACAGCUCAACUGUUCGAAUUCCGAGGAGACUGCAGGGCUCGGGACCGGGAGAGGUUCGAGGUACUCUCGGGGUAGGGGUAAAAUCCUGUAAUCCUGAGAGGACCACCAGUGGCGAAGGCGUCGAACUAGAACGGAUCCGACGGUGAGGGACGAAGCCCUGGGGCGCAAACGGGAUUAGAUACCCCGGUAGUCCAGGGUGUAAACGCUGCGGGCUUGGUGUCGGAGGCCCUACGAGGACGUCCGGUGCCGGAGAGAAAUUGUUAAGCCUGCCGCUUGGGGAGUACGGUCGCAAGACUGAAACUUAAAGGAAUUGGCGGGAGAGCACCGCAACGGGAGGAGCGUGCGGUUCAAUUGGAUUCAACGCCGUACAACUCACCAGGGGCGACGGUUACAUGAAGGCCAGGUUGACGACCUUGCCUGAUUUUCCGAGAGGUGGUGCAUGGCCGUCGUCAGUUCGUACCGUAGGGCGUUCUCUUAAGUGAGAUAACGAACGAGACCCUCGCUGCUAAUUGCUAGCCGUUCCGUGAGGAGCGGUGCACAUUAUCGGGACCGCCAGCGCUAAGCUGGAGGAAGGGGAGGUCAACGGUAGGUCAGUAUGCCCCGAAUCCCCUGGGCUACACGCGCGCUACAAAGGCCAGGACAAUGGGCUCCGAUGCCGAAAGGCAAGGGCAAUCCCGAAACCUGUCCGUAGUUCGGAUUGAGGGCUGUAACUCGCCCUCAUGAAGCUGGAUUCCGUAGUAAUCGCGUGUCAACAUCACGCGGUGAAUAUGCCCCUGCUCUUUGCACACACCGCCCGUCAAACCAUCCGAGUUGGGUCCAAGUGAUGAUGCCUCACCAUGUGGCGUUAGAACUUGGGUUCAGCAAGGGGGGUUAAGUCGUAACAAGGUAUCUGUAGGGGAACCUGCAGAUGGAUCACCUCCU
rnacentral:rRNA from 1 species